AGAGUUUGAUCCUGGCUCAGAAUGAACGCUGGCGGCGUGCUUAACACAUGCAAGUCGAACGAGAACACCCUGCUUCGGUGGGGUAAGUAAAGUGGCGCACGGGUGAGUAACGCGUGGGUAAUCUACCUCUGGAUUUGGGAUAACAUUGCGAAAGCGAUGCUAAUACCGGAUGAAGUUCAUUUAUUUACGGAUAGAUGGAUGAAAGGUGGCCUCUGCAAGCAAGCUACUGUUUAGAGAUGAGCCCGCGUCCCAUUAGCUAGUUGGUAGGGUAAAGGCCUACCAAGGCGACGAUGGGUAGCUGGUCUGAGAGGAUGAUCAGCCACACCGGAACUGACACACGGUCCGGACUCCUACGGGAGGCAGCAGUGAGGAAUUUUGCGCAAUGGGGGAAACCCUGACGCAGCAACGCCGCGUGAGUGAAGAAGGCCUUCGGGUUGUAAAGCUCUUUCAGCCGGGAAGAAAUCGCACAGGCUAAUACCUUGUGUGGAUGACGGUACCGGAAUAAGAAGCACCGGCUAACUACGUGCCAGC
rnacentral:rRNA from 1 species